GACGAACGCUGGCGGCGUGCUUAACACAUGCAAGUCGAACGGAAAGGCUCCAGCUUGCUGGAGUACUCGAGUGGCGAACGGGUGAGUAACACGUGGGUAAUCUGCCCUGCACUCUGGGAUAAGCCUGGGAAACUGGGUCUAAUACUGGAUAUGACCUUUCUCCUUAUGGGGUUUGGUGGAAAGUUUUUCGGUGUAGGAUGAGCCCGCGGCCUAUCAGCUUGUUGGUGGGGUGAUGGCCUACCAAGGCGACGACGGGUAGCCGGCCUGAGAGGGUGAUCGGCCACAUUGGGACUGAGAUACGGCCCAGACUCCUACGGGAGGCAGCAGUGGGGAAUAUUGCACAAUGGGCGGAAGCCUGAUGCAGCGACGCCGCGUGAGGGAUGACGGCCUUCGGGUUGUAAACCUCUUUCAGCAGGGACGAAGCGUAAGUGACGGUACCUGCAGAAGAAGCACCGGCGAACUACGU
rnacentral:rRNA from 1 species